rnacentral:rRNA from 1 species
UACGUAGGGGGCAAGCGUUGUCCGGAUUUAUUGGGCGUAAAGAGCGUGUAGGCGGCCGUACAGGUCAGCUGUGAAAACUCGAGGCUCAACCUCGAGACGUCGGUUGAAACCGUACGGCUAGAGUCCGGAAGAGGAGAGUGGAAUUCCCGGUGUAGCGGUGAAAUGCGCAGAUAUCGGGAAGAACACCCGUGGCGAAAGCGGCGCACUGGACCAUAACUGACGCUGAGGCGCGAAAGCUAGGGGAGCAAACAGG